GGCUUUUUCGCUGCUUGAGCCUGUUGCUGGCUCAUGAUCAGCUGGUCCUGGACCGCAGUCCUUUCCUGCAAAGCUUUUACUUGGUAUAUCAGCUUUCUUUUUUUAACUGGGUACAUCCUACCUGCUUUAUGCCAAUUGUUUUUGAACUGAUAAUCUAAUAUAUCUCCAUUAACCUGAAUUUCUUAUUAAACUCCCAGUAGUUUUUUAAUUUGGACUUUUUUUUUUUUUUCAGAGCUGUUUACCUGUUCCAAUAAACAGCUACCAGUUUGCCAAAUAGCAUGUGUACUGGUUGACUAUGCACAUGGCUCUGAACUAGCCAGAGUGUGAAUGGCUAUAGUCCAGUGAAAUAAAACCCUUCUUUGAAGGAGCUUCUGUGAAGAGAGUUGGGCAUCAUGCUGGAAGAGGAAGAGAGGAAGGCAGGCACUAGUGACAUGGAGGGAGCUUGGCAAGGCUGGAAGGACUAUGUGCUGGGAGACACACCUGUUUCCAAGGAAGACGCUGAUGCAGCUUGAAAAACUUUCUAACAUAACCACAUGUUUUAUGCACAUACUAGCCUGUGAAAUAUUGCAGGUAGUUCACGUUUGAGCAUGGUCUCAGAACAAGUGACAAACUGAGCCUGAAACACAUAGGAUUGUUAUGUGCAACUCUUCCUGAUCAGGCUGUCAGGUACAGGCAUCAUAUCUUUACUGUUUGGUUGGUAGUUUUGAUACAGCUGAUGAGUUUGUUCCAUGUAUGAGGUUUUGGUGAGAAAACAGAAGAAUGUGGGAGCAGUAGGAAAUUUGAAGAAGGAACAUACAAAGUAGCAAAAGGGGUGCAUGUGUUACAGGCUAAGAUUACAGGACAGUUGAGAUUGGAAGGGAAUCUGUUUAAACUCUGGUCCAACCCACUGUUCAGAAGAGGUUUACCUUUGAUGUUGGAUUCUAUUGUAUCCAGAAUACCCGUUUGGGUUGGGAAACAACAGUGAACUUCAAAGCUUUGUUCUCUAAUUCACCUGGUAGUGACGAUGCUGGGGCUUCAUAAGCUAUCUUCAGAAUAGUUCCCUUUAAAAACAAGGUAAAGCAUCACAUAAAUUCAGUCGAAAGCUCUAAUGGAGAUUCUCAGUUCCUUGCUUGUUAGCUAUCAGUAUGUUUACUUUUAAAAGCUUUCAAAGGUUCUAGUAGAUUUAAAGAUCUGUUUCUAGCCUGCCAUUUUAUUGUGUUUACAAGCUUCCCAAAGCUUAGAUGCAUGACAUCAUACUCAUGGUCAGGGUUAGCAUCUCAUCAUGUACAAUUUGAAUUGUUUGACAUGCCAUAAUGUAUAUAAUCAAUGGCCAGAUAGGACUCUUUCCAGAAAAGAAUUUCAGUGUUAAUAAUACGAAUUUGAGGAAUUAGAAAUUGAGUGAGUGGGUUGAGAGAAUUAUACAUGACAUUUGAGAGGUUGGAGAAAAACAAUGCUAAAAAAGCACUGUUUUUCUGUAGAAAGCUAGAAGAUGGUUUACGAUGGUUUGAAUGAAUUGAGAAAGACUUUUGCAUUUAGUUUUGAACCUUCCACAGCUGCUAAUUCUGAUUGUGUUGUGACAGUGCUUUCAUCAUUACUUUACUAAGUU
ensembl:lncRNA